GACGAACGCUGGCGGCGUGCUUAACACAUGCAAGUCGAACGGAAAGGCCCUGCUUUUGUGGGGUGCUCGAGUGGCGAACGGGUGAGUAACACGUGAGUAACCUGCCCUUGACUUUGGGAUAACUUCAGGAAACUGGGGCUAAUACCGGAUAGUAGCUCCUGCUGCAUGGUGGGGGUUGGAAAGUUUCGGCGGUUGGGGAUGGACUCGCGGCUUAUCAGCUUGUUGGUGGGGUAGUGGUUUACCAAGGCUUUGAAGGGUAGCCGGCCUGUGAGGGUGACCGGCCACAUUGGGCCUGAGAUACGGCCCAGACUCCUACGGGAGGCAGCAGUGGGGAAUAUUGCACAAUGGGCGGAAGCCUGAUGCAGCAACGCCGCGUGCGGGAUGACGGCCUUCGGGUUGUAAACCGCUUUAGCCUGUGACGAAGCGUGAGUGACGGUAAUGGGUAAAGAAGCACCGGCUAACUACGUG
rnacentral:rRNA from 1 species